rnacentral:rRNA from 1 species
GUUGUGGUUAAAGCUCGUAGUUGAACCUUGGGCCUGGCUGGCCGGUCCGCCUCACCGCGUGCACUGGUCCGGCCGGGCCUUUCCCUCUGUGGAACCCCAUACCCUUCACUGGGCGUGGCGGGGAAACAGGACAUUUACUUUGGAAAAAUUAGAGUGCUCCAGGCAGGCCUAUGCUCGAAUACAUUAGCAUGGAAUAAUAAAAUAGGACGCGCGGUUCUAUUUUGUUGGUUUAUAGGACCGCCGUAAUGAUUAAUAGGGACAGUCGGGGGCAUCAGUAUUCAACUGUCAGAGGUGAAAUUCUUGGAUCAGUUGAAGACUAACUACUGCGAAAGCAUUUGCCAAGGAUGUUUUCAUUAAUCAGGAACGAAAGUUAGGGGAUCGAAGACGAUCAGAUACCGUCGUAGUCUUAACCAUAAACUAUGCCGACUAGGGAUCGGACGGUGUUAUUCAUGACCCGUUCGGCACCUUACGAGAAAUCAAAGUGCUUGGGCUCCAGGGGGAGUAUGGUCGCAAGGCUGAAACUUAAAGAAAUUGACGGAAGGGCACCACCAGGGGUGGAGCCUGCGGCUUAAUUUGACUCAACACGGGGAAACUCACCAGGUCCAGACACAAUAAGGAUUGACAGAUUGAGAGCUCUUUCUUGAUUUUGUGGGUGGUGGUGCAUGGCCGUUCUUAGUUGGUGGGGUGACUUGUCUGCUUAAUUGCGAUAACGAACGAGACCUUAACCUGCUAAAUAGCCCGCAUUGCUCCGGCAGUGCGCUGGCUUCUUAGAGGGACUUUCGGCUCAAGCCGAAGAAGUUUGAGCAUAACAGUCUGUGAUGCCCUUUAGAUGUCUGGGCGCACGCGCGCUACACUGAC